rnacentral:rRNA from 1 species
GACGAACGCUGGCGGCGUGCCUAAUACAUGCAAGUAGAACGCUGAAGAGAGGAGCUUGCUCUUCUUGGAAGAGUUGCGAACGGGUGAGUAACGCGUAGGUAACCUGCCUUGUAGCGGGGGAUAACUAUUGGAAACGAUAGCUAAUACCGCAUAACAAUGGGUGACCCAUGUCAUUCAUUUGAAAGGGGCAACUGCUCCACUACAAGAUGGACCUGCGUUGUAUUAGCUAGUAGGUGAGGUAACGGCUCACCUAGGCGACGAUACAUAGCCGACCUGAGAGGGUGAUCGGCCACACUGGGACUGAGACACGGCCCAGACUCCUACGGGAGGCAGCAGUAGGGAAUCUUCGGCAAUGGGGGCAACCCUGACCGAGCAACGUCGCGUGAGUGAAGAAGGUUUUCGGAUCGUAAAGCUCUGUUGUAAGUCAAGAACGAGUGUGAGAGUGGAAAGUUCACACUGUGACGGUAGCUUACCAGAAAGGGACGGCUAACUACGUGCCAGCAGCCGCGGUAAUACGUAGGUCCCGAGCGUUGUCCGGAUUUAUUGGGCGUAAAGCGAGCGCAGGCGGUUUGAUAAGUCUGAAGUUAAAGGCUGUGGCUCAACCAUAGUUCGCUUUGGAAACUGUCAAACUUGAGUGCAGAAGGGGAGAGUGGAAUUCCAUGUGUAGCGGUGAAAUGCGUAGAUAUAUGGAGGAACACCGGUGGCGAAAGCGGCUCUCUGGUCUGUAACUGACGCUGAGGCUCGAAAGCGUGGGGAGCGAACAGG